UGAGUCUCACAGUUUUUAGCA
ensembl:piRNA 21ur-4596 ncRNA